CAAACGGCCCUUUUCAGGGCCAUCAAAACAAUCACGAAAGAGUUAU
rfam:Culex pipiens quinquefasciatus supercont3.940 genomic scaffold, whole genome shotgun sequence.